UUCCGGUUGAUCCUGCCGGAGGUUACUGCUUUCGGUGUUCGACUAAGCCAUGCAAGUCAUAUGUUCCUCGUGAACAUGGCAUACUGCUCAGUAACACGUGGAUAACCUGCCCUUGGGUCUGGGAUAACCCCGGGAAACUGGGGAUAAUACCGGAUGACGCAUAUGUGCUGGAAUGCUUUAUGCGUAAAACGGAUUCGUCCGCCCAAGGAUGGGUCUGCGGCCUAUCAGGUAGUAGUGGGUGUAAUGUACCUACUAGCCAACAACGGGUACGGGUUGUGAGAGCAAGAGCCCGGAGAUGGAUUCUGAGACAUGAAUCCAGGCCCUACGGGGCGCAGCAGGCGCGAAAACUUUACAAUGCGGGAAACCGUGAUAAGGGAACACCGAGUGCCAGCAUCAUAUGCUGGCUGUCCAGAUGUGUAAACUACAUCUGUUAGCAAGGGCCGGGCAAGACCGGUGCCAGCCGCCGCGGUAACACCGGCGGCCCGAGUGGUGACCGUUAUUAUUGGGUCU
rnacentral:rRNA from 1 species